rnacentral:rRNA from 1 species
AACGCUAGCUACAGGCUUAACACAUGCAAGUCGAGGGGAAACGACAUCGAAAGCUUGCUUUUGAUGGGCGUCGACCGGCGCACGGGUGAGUAACGCGUAUCCAACCUGCCCACCACUUGGGGAUAACCUUGCGAAAGUAAGACUAAUACCCAAUGAUAUCUCUAGAAGACAUCUGAAAGAGAUUAAAGAUUUAUCGGUGAUGGAUGGGGAUGCGUCUGAUUAGCUUGUUGGCGGGGUAACGGCCCACCAAGGCGACGAUCAGUAGGGGUUCUGAGAGGAAGGUCCCCCACAUUGGAACUGAGACACGGUCCAAACUCCUACGGGAGGCAGCAGUGAGGAAUAUUGGUCAAUGGGCGAGAGCCUGAACCAGCCAAGUAGCGUGCAGGAUGACGGCCCUAUGGGUUGUAAACUGCUUUUAUAAGGGAAUAAAGUGAGUCUCGUGAGACUUUUUGCAUGUACCUUAUGAAUAAGGACCGGCUAAUUCCGUGCCAGCAGCCGCGGUAAUACGGAAGGUCCGGGCGUUAUCCGGAUUUAUUGGGUUUAAAGGGAGCGUAGGCCGGAGAUUAAGCGUGUUGUGAAAUGUAGACGCUCAACGUCUGCACUGCAGCGCGAACUGGUUUCCUUGAGUGCGCACAAAGUGGGCGGAAUUCGUGGUGUAGCGGUGAAAUGCUUAGAUAUCACGAAGAACUCCGAUUG